AACGCGAAGAACCUUACCUGGGCUCGAAAUGUUAUGGACCGUCUGUGAAAGCAGGCUUUCCCGCAAGGGACCGUAAUAUAGGUGCUGCAUGGCUGUCGUCAGCUCGUGUCGUGAGAUGUUGGGUUAAGUCCCGCAACGAGCGCAACCCUUGUCCUGUGUUGGCAUGCCGCAAGGCGCAACUCUCAGGAGACCGCCAGCGAUAAGUUGGAGGAAGGUGGGGAUGACGUCAAGUCAUCAUGGCCUUUAUGUCCAGGGCCACACACGUGCUACAAUGGGCGGUACAAAGCGCUGCCAACCCGCGAGGGGGAGCUAAUCGCCAAAAACCGUCCUCAGUUCGGAUUGCAGGCUGCAACUCGCCUGCAUGAAGCUGGAAUCGCUAGUAAUGCUAUAUCAGAACGAUAGCGUGAAUACGUUCCCGGGCCUUGUACACACCGACUGUAC
rnacentral:rRNA from 1 species